AGGACACGCUGGCGGCGUGCCUAACACAUGCAAGUCGAGCGGGGUUGAGGCGAGAGGUAACUCGAGCUUCUACCUAGCGGCGGACGGGUGAGUAACGCGUGGGCAACCUGCCUCAAGGUUUGGGAUAACAGCCCGAAAGGGCUGCUAAUACCGGAUAUGCCUAUGGCCUCGCAUGGGGCUAUGAGCAAAGGGGAAACCCGCCUUGAGAUGGGCCCGCGUCCCAUCAGCUAGUUGGUGAGGUAACAGCUCACCAAGGCGACGACGGGUAGCCGGCCUGAGAGGGUGACCGGCCACACUGGGACUGAGACACGGCCCAGACUCCUACGGGGGGCAGCAGUGGGGGAUCUUGCACAAUGGGCGAAAGCCUGAUGCAGCGACGCCGCGUGAGCGAAGAAGGCCUUCGGGUUGUAAAGCUCUGUCUGGAGGGACGAACAAAAUGACGGUACCUCCGGAGGAAGCCACGGCUAACUACGUG
rnacentral:rRNA from 1 species